AACAGGAGACACAGCUGGAGAAGGAAAAUGUUGUUGCCAAAUGGACAAGAAAGAAGGGAGAAGCUCACCACAUGAGAGGCUGUUGUACUUCAAGACUGGAAAGUGGCUUUACAAAAAACCAGAGAUUUAAAACUGAAUGAGGAGAAAAUGUCUCUCCUUAAUGCCCUCCCUCCACCUCUGGAUCUCCUGGUUCCAUCCCCUACAGAGGCCCCACAACUCUCUUCCAUUUAUAGAUUGAGCUGCGCAUCAACCAGGACCAUACUCAGGGCUCAAGUUGCAAUACCAAUUGGACAACUGGGUGGAGAGGCAGACAUGUUCUCCUCUCUGGCUCCACCUGGAAUUAGGAAAUGUUUUCAACUGUUUCUAAAUGCCUCUGAGUCCAUAGCUCGUGUGAACAUGAGUUACCAGGAGAAGGUGCUGGCCAUGAUGCUGACGAUCAGGAUCUGGAGUGAACCCUCUUGGGCCAUCUUUAUUCCUCUCAAAGCAAUGUCUUUCUGUUGUCUUUCUCCGUGCCUGACCUGACAGCUCUGCCCAGCAGAUGAAUCAUUCGGACGCACUGACAAAGCGCUAGCUUUCCUUUGGGAUGUAUUGACUCAGCAGACCUGACCUUUCAGCAACCUAAAAGUGUCAGUCAUCAGACAGCAGAAGUUCCCCCACUUUGCUGUCACCCACCUCUAACACAUCUCCACCAGUGUACUAGAAAAGUGUCUUAUUCCCAGCCUUUUCUGCUUCUUUCUAUGAAAACUUCAUGAAACUGCUUUUAGUAUAACCUAAGUCUGUGUCACCAGGCCACAAUCACUCAUAUCUGGCUUCAGGAUAACCCCCCUCCUCUCCCCUUGGAGAUGGGAGUAUGCUUCUGUACCUGUAGGUAUCGAGCUGACCAGAUGUUCAAUGACACUACACAGACUCAGGAUUCUCAGGUGAUCAUCUCUGGAUUUUGAAGUGGCAGGGAAUGUGUUACCAGAGAAAACAAGAUGCCAGAAAAAUAAGGAAAGCUAAAGAGUGAAGACUCUUGAACCCUUUGCUUUAAGCAAUUGCCAGUCUAACUGAUAUCCUUGUUUUCCUAGAUAGAGGCCACUGGGUAUUUAUAGGAGAGGGUAGUUUUACUCUCACUGCAACUGAGGGCACCUGCAGUGGUGGAUCCUGUUAUACCCUCCUCUGGUUGAACCAACAUCCAGAUUCAUGAACUGUGGAAAUCACACAAAAAGCAAAUACCCUUUAUCAGCAAUGCUCCUCUUAGCCUAACAGCCGUUCCUUCCCGUACUUUGCAAAUCACUGUGUGGUGAGCUGGCAGUGAUUUCAUCAGUGCUAUGUGAGUUACCUUUCCUAGGUGGUAAUCUUUAUGUCCCAAAGGUCUUUAUGGCUUCCAUAAACCACUCCAAUUCCCAGAGUCUUAGUAGUAGCUACCAGGGCAGGAUAGAUAAGCCUGGACUUGAAAGGAAGUGGCUAGAUUUCUGUAGUACUAAAGUUAUUAUGAAGUUACUGAGGAAUCCUCCAAACUUGAAAUAAAAACAAAUUUAAAAGAAGAUACUAUGUAAAUAAUUCCUGCCUCUGACAAUCAAUGUGAUGCUCAGUCUGAGCUUCCUCCAAUUCAGUUUGACCUAGACCUGCUGAGGACACUGGUACCAAUAUGCCUAGAGUGCUCUCCAGGCAGGAUGCUGCACUGGAUCCUCCAUAGAAUCAGGCCAGAAUCUUGAGGGCUUGAAUUAGAAUUCAGCAAGACUCAAACAACUUGGAAAAGCGGUUCAAUAAAGUGAAUUUCCAGGAACACAUGCACACCAGCAUGAAGUCAAGAAUGACUAACUGUGUGUUAAUAAGGUAGUAGAAGGCUAUAACACUAUAAUGACCUUCCAUGGAAAGCAUGCCAGCUGCCCAGCACAGUUAAGGUGAGAUGUGGUGUGUGGGGAAGGAAUGAGAUCAUGGCUCUAGGGCCAUGUGUUUGGACUGUGAGCUCCACAGUCAACCUGGGUGUUAGCAGUGUUACAAGGAACUGGCCAGACAAAGACGUCCUCUUUCCUCAGCUGUAAAUUGCCCACAAAAAACAGCCUCUGCCUGGUGGAGACUGCAAGGCCAGGACAGUUAAAGGAGAUGAGUGAUCUACAAGCUAGUGUGCGGACCAAUAUGCUUUGGGUGCUAACAGCAAAUACCUCAAGGGAGCCCAGCAGGCUGAAUGCUUGUGCCUGAGUUUACACAGUCCAGGGGCCUACAGCUUUUGCUAAUUUUGUACCCACAAAAGUGGCUGCCCUUUAGAACUAUUAAAAAUAAUUUGUUAUCCUUAUAAGGAA